rnacentral:tRNA from 1 species
UGGAGAAGGCACUGGCCUCCUAAGCCAAAGACUGUGGGUUCAAGUCCCACCUGGGCUG